GGACGAGUAGCUCAGCGGUUAGAGCAUUCGCUUGACGUGCGAAGGGUCAGGGGUUCGAUUCCCUUCUCGUCCA
rnacentral:tRNA from 1 species